rnacentral:rRNA from 1 species
UGCGUAGGCGGACCCGUAAGUCAGUGGUGAAAGUUUGCAGCUCAACUGUAAAAUUGCCAUUGAAACUGCGGAUCUUGAGUGUAAAUGAGGUAGGCGGAAUGUGUUGUGUAGCGGUGAAAUGCUUAGAUAUAACACAGAACACCAAUUGCGAAGGCAGCUUACUAGGAUACAACUGACGCUGAGGCACGAAAGCGUGGGGAUCAAACAGGAUUAGAUACCCUGGUAGUCCACGCAGUAAACGAUGAAUACUAGCUGUAUGCGAUAUACUGUAUGUGGCAAAGCGAAAGCGUUAAGUAUUCCACCUGGGGAUACGUUCGCAAGAAUGAA